AUACGGAGGGUGCAAGCGUUACUCGGAAUCACUGGGCGUAAAGCGCGCGCAGGCGGCUUGAUAAGUUGGAUGUGAAAGCCUACGGCUCAACCGUAGAACUGCAUCCAAAACUGUCAAGCUAGAGUCUGGGAGGGGAAGAUGGAAUUAGUUGUGUAGGAGUAAAAUCCGUAGAGAUAACUAGGAAUACCAAAAGCGAAGGCGAUCUUCUGGAACAGUACUGACGCUGAGGCGCGAAAGCGUGGGGAGCAAACAGGAUUAGAAACCCGAGUAGUCC
rnacentral:rRNA from 1 species